rnacentral:rRNA from 1 species
UACGGGGGGGGCAAGCGUUGUUCGGAAUUACUGGGCGUAAAGCGUGCGCAGGCGGUUAUGUAAGACAGAUGUGAAAUGCCCGGGCUUAACCUGGGAACUGCAUUUGUGACUGCAUGGCUAGAGUUUGGCAGAGGGGGGUAGAAUUCCACGUGUAGCAGUGAAAUGCGUAGAUAUGUGGAGGAACACCGAUGGCGAAGGCAGCCCCCUGGGUCAAGACUGACGCUCAUGCACGAAAGCGUGGGGAGCAAGCAGG